AUUGAACGCUGGCGGCAGGCCUAACACAUGCAAGUCGAACGAGUGGCGGACGGGUGAGUAAUGUCUGGGAAACUGCCUGAUGGAGGGGGAUAACUACUGGAAACGGUAGCUAAUACCGCAUACCAUCAGAUGUGCCCAGAUGGGAUUAGCUUGUGGGUGGGGUAAAGGCACACAAAGGAGACGAUCCCUAGCUGGUAUGAGAGGAUGACCAGCCACACUGGACCUGAUGCACGGUCCUGACUCCUACGGGAGGCAGCAGUGGGGAAUAUUGCACAAUGGGCGCAAGCCUGAUGCAGCCAUGCCGCGUGUAUGAAGAAGGCCUUCGGGUUGUAAAGUACUUUCAGCGGGGAGGCGUUACCCGCAGAAGAAGCACCGGCUAACUCCGUGCCAGCAGCCGCGGUAAUUC
rnacentral:rRNA from 1 species